rnacentral:lncRNA from 1 species
GCUGGGAAGAUGUGAGGCGUGAUGGCACGAUCUCUACUGAUCUGGGCGUGAUUGGGAGCUGACAUCCGGGACGCCAUGGCUGUGUUCGAAAUGGAAGGAAAUCCGGAUGGCCGGAGACGCGCUGCAGAUUACUCGGAUGAACGCCUGAUUUGCUGGCUGCAUCGCGAGAUGAGAGGAGAUCUGGAAAAUGGCUGGAUGCACGGAAGGCGGGCUGGUUCAUCAUGGGAUACGCUGGGAGAAGGGCAAUUUCCCCUGCUUCGGAUCGCCUGAUGCAGAAGAUAUUUUUUGUUUUGAAGCAGGGGGAAAACAUGUAGAUUUGAUCCGUGAGCUGGGAGUUAUUCGUGGAGGGAGAUAACGAGAGGAUCUGGGAGGAUUAGGAGAAGACGAGGCUUGACUCGCGGAUGCUGGGAGCUUCGGAGAAGGAAAGAGAUGAUCUCGGCUUUUGUUCUGGAACAGGGGAUUUUGUAUUUGAUUUGGCUUGGCUGGGAUCAAUCCGGGUGUUUGGGUUGUUGCCGUUGGAUGAGAGGAAAUCUAGGGAGAAUCCAGAAGAAGAUGAGGAUCAGUGGUUUGUUCUUUGUUGGGGGAUGCUGGGACUUGGUUGGCCACGGGAUAAGGGUGGUUACGAAAGGUUUGAAGCAAGGGAAUUAAUCCUAUUUGGCUUGGGAAGAGACCAAUGACCACAAUUUUCUGAUAUACUUUGAUGUCUUAGAAACAAAUGAUUGGACAGUAUGGGAAGAGAAUUAGGUGAAUUUGUGAAGAGACAGAAAUUAAUGGAAAACACAGAGUUUUUUUGGAGGAGAGUUCUUGGAGUCGACUCCGGAGGAUGUGGAGUUGUGAAAUGAU